UCCUCUAACUUUCAAGCUGCCUCGGAGGAGGCACUUGCCAGAGAGACCUCGGCGUCGGCCUCUUUUCAUUCGGCACAUCCCAUGAUCUGGAACAACCGUCUUCAUUAGUAUUGCAAUCGAUUUUAACUAGCUCGCGUACACAUUAUGCAAAUGUUGCUCGUGUUUGUGGUAUGGGACGUCACAAAUAAAUUACAUCGAUAAUAUGACAGAUAAUGGCACAGCUAAGAGUCAUCGGAAAACUAAGACGAACAACGCGAGAAGCGGGGAUGAGGCGUAGAAUAGAAGAAAACCUGCCACGCGGAAUAUGUAACGCAGGAGCAAUAGAAAACAGGAACUAGAUAUUAAACAAGUGUCCAUAUACGAGGAAAUUAGUAUAUUGAGUUUGUUUUGUCGUUCACAUUAAGUGGCAGAGAAUGGUAAGAAACAGGAAAACAAACACCGAAAGACAUAAAGGGGAGUAUGAACCUGAGGACACUGUGGCUGGAAGAGCAGAUCCAGGAGCAAAUAUGAAAAAUUCCAAGGAACCCACAAGCCAAGCAAAAUACGAUAGUAAAUUGUAGUGCUAUUAUAUAUACUAUAGGAUAUAGUAUAUCCUAACUGACAUAUAUUAUGUAAUUAAGUAUAAUUUUCCAUGAAGUAUGCUGUAACAUAGAAAUAUAUUAUACGUUAGUCUGGUAAUAUACUGACGACAAUUAUAAUAAUAA